rnacentral:misc_RNA from 1 species
UGGCAUACCUCUUCAGUUAUGCGUCAUGACUUGUAUCGUCUUGAGCGUAUUGUGGGUUUCCUGUGUUGCAUACCUUUCUAAUGGUAUCGUGUUGAUUGAUCGAAGUCCCUUUUCAUCUUGUGUUGCUUUUUGCGACGCAUGAUGAACCUCGAGGCGGUCUCUAUGUUCCACCACGUUGAUGCUAGCGUUUUGAUGUUGUGGCCCAUUGAGUGUUGCUUGGUUUCGUGGAUACAGAACAUGAUUUGGGCAUAGGGUUACUUGUGACUCUUGUUUUGUCCUUUAUCUGUGUUCUUUGUAACGACGGUUCAUGCGCGCCUAGGCUCGUACCUGCGCGAUGUUCUUUGUCGAAGAGGAAUGCUACCUGGUUGAUCCUGCCAGUA